AAAAUAUUAAUGUAUUUGAUGCAUAAAAAUUUUUGAGGUUUUUAGAAAUAGUUUAAAUCUAUUAUAUAUUA
rnacentral:tRNA from 1 species